rnacentral:rRNA from 1 species
UGAGGAUGAUGUCAAGUCAGCAUGACCUUUAUAUCCAGGGCUACACACACGCUACAAUGGUCUGUACAAUAGGUUGCGAAACCGCGAGGUGGAGCCAAUCCUCAAAGUCUGUCUCAGUUCAGAUUGUAGGCUGCAACUCGCCUGCAUGAAGUUGGAGUUGCUAGUAAACGCAGGUCAGCUAUACUGCGUUGAAUACGUUCCCGGGGUUU